rnacentral:rRNA from 1 species
AUGAACAGAAUAAUCAUAAGAUGUGUCUGCUCAAACAUCGGCGAAUACUUUCUUGAUUCGUAUUUGAGCAUGUUGCCUGAUUGGAACUCCUUCAGGAAGCUAAACACCGAUCUAUGGAAGUAUGAUGGAAAACCUGUCAAGGCUGUGAUAAUAGAAACAAUUGAUGGCUGGUCUCUUGGUCAGAAGCUUCUAGGACUGACAUCUCAACACGCCCGUGAUAGCAAGGUAACAAUGGAAUUGGAAGAAAAUAUAUCAUCACAGAACUAUCUUGUUGCGAAACACAAGCUAUUGAGCAUUCCAUGCAUGGUAACUGCACUUAAUAACCUUUUCGGGUGGGAACUCAAAGACUUCGUUCUAGAAACAAGUGCAUCUUGUUUUCGCUGCAUGACAUACACCCCAGCGGGUAAGAAGAAAUAUGAGGAAAUUCUUUCAAAGAUACGCCUAAGUCGUCCCUCUUUUGGAUCACAAAGAUGGUACCUGACUUUCUAUUCACUAGAAGUAGCUUUGCAGUUCUUUAAAGCAUACCCGAAUAUUGAAGAGUUGGAUCCUGUUCUUUGGCCAAAUCUCAAACCAUCUUCUGAGCAACUAGAGGCGGCAGAAAGCUUUUGCAAGACUGCAUGGCCAAUCUAUCAUGCAAUCAAAGUAAUUUCCAGUCCUCACCACCUGACUUUCAAUUCAUAUUACGAUGCAAUCUUGAGUGUGAGGACAGCUCUGCGGGUAUCAUCUAAAAUGGUAAACGUCGAGCAUGUUUUAGAUAUUGAAGAUAUGCAGAAAAAGUUUGAAGAGAAUUGGAGAGAAUGGUAUUUGUGGCUGUCUCUGGCUGUUGUUCUUGAUCCAAGGUACAAAAUCAGCUUUGUUGAACUUCGCUCUAGACAGACUUUUGGCCAUGAUGCUGACAUGCAUAUCUCAGAGGUGCGCGCAAAGAUGUAUGAUCUCUUUAUCCGAUACUCUAGCCAUGUCAAUGAACCAACUAUUGAUGUCUUAAACCAAACAAUUAGUGAUCUACGUUUGGACUGGACUGGCAGUGAAUCAUUUAAUGAUGCAAGUCAGAGUUACAUUAACCCAGAAGGACAUGAUGAAUUUAAAGAACUUAACGAGUACCUUGGAGCAGAGCUUUCCCCUCAAAAUAACUUUUUUGAUAUUAUGAAAUGGUGGAAGAAUAACACUUCGACAUAUCCGACUCUUGCAAGGGUUGCACGUGAUAUUUUAGCAAUACCUGGGUAUGCAGUUUCCGCUGAUUCUGCAUUUGAUAAGGAUGAUAAACGGGUCUCUUUUCUGAAUACUAAAGCAAGUCCUGAGGUAGUGGAAGCUUUCAUCUGCAUGAAUGAUUUGAUUAAAUUUUCAGAAGCAAGUCAUCCAAAUGAUCAUGGUAGCAACUGGCAAUAG